GUUUCCUUCAGUAUCAUUAUUAGUCUGUUAAGAACUGCAGCACUUUCACUUUCACUUAUCAGGAAGAGCAACCACACAGAGGGAGAAGACAGUCAAAAUGUCACGCAAUGACGACGACCAAGAGGAGCCUAUGGACACUUCGGACGGCUCUGCUAAUGAUGGACAUCUGCAACAACAAGGACCUGAUGUUACACCAGGUGUACAGAGCUCUGAUUGCAUCAAUCUGCAACAAUUAGCAUUACAUGCUCCACCUGUCCAGAGCUCUGAUUGCAUCAAUCUGCAACAAUUAGCAUUACAUGCUCCACCUGUCCAGAGCUCUGAUUGCAUCAAUCUGCAACAAUUAGCAUUACAUGCUCCACCUGUCCAGAGCUCUACUAACAAUGGAAAUCUGCAACAACAAGUACCUGAUGUUCCACCUGUCCAGAGCUCUGCUAACGAUGGGAAUCUGGAUCAACCAGCAUCUCAUGCUCCACCUGUCCAGAGCUCUGCUAAUGAUGGAAAUCAGGAUCAACUAGCAUCUCAUGCUCAACCUGCCCAGACUGGGAAGAUGUCAUCACAGAAUAAAGAUGAAGAUGAAGAUCUACUCAGCAUCUCAUUUAAGUGGUCAGAGUCCAGUCGACCACAGAAACCAAAACGAGAUCUCGAGCUACUUCUCCAGUCUUGGUUCAACAAAAGAGAAAUGGAGACAGAUUGCAGAGUUGUAAAGACCAUAGGAGAUGAUUGUGUCGUGAUAAAGAUUACUCCUGUCCCAGCUUUGAAUGAGCUGAAGAAGCUGAUUGGACAAACACUUACCAAAAAAGGCUGUAGUCCAAUCACCAUCACAUCUGUUAGUCUGACACCACCAGAGCUGGAAGCAGACAAACCAGAGGAGGCUUCAAUGAACUCCCAUCCCUCCAUGUCACGACCACAUUCUGACCAAGUGGAGCAGAGCAGCACAGUUUCUGCAGCAGGAGAAGAGACUUUCAGUUGUCCUGUUCCAGUGUCCCAUUUCUGGUAUGUGAGCCACAUCUAUGAAGAGGAACUCAAACGUAUAGAGAAAGAGAAUGGAGUUAAACUCGAGGCAAAUGUGAAAGUAACAUUUGAACCAGACAAGAAAGGUGGAGACCCACAGAAAGCUCUCAGUGAGUUCACAAACCUCGUCCAGGAUAGCUUAAAUGAAUCCACUGGCUCAGUUAUUCCUCUCAAGCAUGUAUAUCCAAAUCAGUGGAGUGAGGCACUGAAAGUUGUCCAGAAAAAUGACAGCAAGCUUUUACUUACUCUGUCCACUGACAGUGUUUUAGUAUGCGGACCAAGCAGUAGUCAAAGUGAUUUCAGUAAGACCUUAAAUGCAAAGAAAAAAAAUAUGAAUGCUUCUCUUGAAGACUAUGAAUGGCCGUCUGAAGAAACACCACUGAUGACCAUCUACGACCCUCUUGUCAAAUCAGGACUAACCAUAGAGGAGAGCAACUGGAAGCUGCUGACUACCUCCUAUGAUGGACAAGUAGAAAAGAUCAAAGCUGCAUUUAAUGUCAACUUUAGAGAAUCAGGCAUCACUCAAGGCAAAGUCACUGUUAUAGCUUGCUACAAAGGAGCUGGAAGAAACAUCUCCAUGGAAAGCCAUGCUGUCAGAGCUCUUGUCCGUCUGUACCAGAGGACUGUCACAUCACCAAUGAGUCUCCGUGACCUCCAUGGUGCCACUGGGAUCAGUCGCUCACUGAGGAACUCGAGCAGUGAUUAUCAGUCAGAUGGGGCCUCCAAUGGUGCUGUGGUGAAUGGAAGACCAGGAUUCAGCAAGGACACUGAAGCACUCACAGGAGGUGGAGCAAAAGCAGGAGAUGAUGAAGAUGAAAUCUGUCCCAUAUGUAUGGAUGUAUUUAUCAAGAAGCGGCAACUCAAAUGUAAACAUGCAUUUUGUAAGGGAUGCCUGCAACAAGCUGAGAAAAGCAUAGGCCCCACCUGCCCUGUAUGCAAAGAUGUUUUUGGUGUGAUAGAGGGAGACCAGCCAGAUGGAAAAAUGACAUGGAGUACACAUGGCAUAUCCCUGCCUGGAUUCGGAGACUGUGGCACUACUGUGAUCACCUAUAAUAUUCCAAGUGGAAUACAGACGGCCAAACAUCCUAAACCUGGACAGUACUAUUCUGGAAUUACCAGAACGGCAUAUCUUCCAGACAACAGGGAGGGAAAAGAAGUGCUGCAGCUGUUGAAACGAGCAUUUGACCAGAAACUCAUUUUCACUGUUGGGAUGUCCAGAACAACUGGGAUGGACGACCAGGUGACCUGGAAUGACAUUCAUCACAAAACGUCCACUUCAGGAGGACCACAGUGUUUUGGCUAUCCUGACCCCGACUAUCUGAGCAGAGUCAGGGAGGAGCUGAAGGCUAAAGGCAUCAAGUGAAGACUUUGAUGGAAUGUGGAGUCUAAUUUCACAUCCAACAACAACAACAAAAAAAGACAAAUCUAUUAAAUAGCAAUUCACAAAUAUUUAGCUUUUUCUUCACCGGUAAUGUUUAAUGUGAUCAGUAAGGGUUGCUUGAGGUGCACUGGAAAAUAUUUACAGCUCAAGAGUUUAGCAAUUUAUAUUAUCGACAUGCGUUUCUUUAAUUUUUUUUGAUUUUUGAGUUUUUUAACAUCAUCAAAACGAAAAUUUUCUGUAAUUGCAACCUUUUCUCUACAACACAGAUGAUGUAAUUUACUGGUUAGCCAAAUAAAUGAUUAAUUUAACCCACGCUGACUCAUGACAUUCUUAUUUUAUCAAGGCUGGGUGUAGACAGAACACAGAAGACAAUGGAGUUUGUUUUCUGUACAAUUUUUAAAAUUUUAUUUAUAACAAUAUCUGUUAUUUAGUUUGUAAAGUACUCCAGCAAAAAUUAAACAUUAUUCUCUUUCCAGAAGAAAGUCUGAGCCUCCAUGCAUCGUGUACUAUAAAAGCUAUGUGUCAUUUUUCAUUUAAAAAAAAAACAAAGACUAAUCAAAAACAAUUCUGAAAAUGCAC